rnacentral:rRNA from 1 species
AGCUAGUUGGUGAGGUAACGGCCCACCAAGGCGACGAUCGGUAGCCGGACUGAGAGGUUGAACGGCCACAUUGGGACUGAGACACGGCCCAGACUCCUACGGGAGGCAGCAGUGGGGAAUAUUGCACAAUGGGGGAAACCCUGGUGCAGCGACGCCGCGUGGAGGAAGAAGGUCUUCGGAUUGUAAACUCCUGUUGUUGAGGAAGAUAAUGACGGUACUCAACAAGGAAGUGACGGCUAACUACGUGCCAGCAGCCGCGGUAAAACGUAGGUCACAAGCGUUGUCCGGAAUUACUGGGUGUAAAGGGAGCGCAGGCGGGAAGACAAGUUGGAAGUGAAAUCCAUGGGCUUAACCCAUGAACUGCUUUCAAAACUGUUUUUCUUGAGUAGUGCAGAGGUAGGCGGAAUUCCCGGUGUAGCGGUGGAAUGCGUAGAUAUCGGGAGGAACACCAGUGGCGAAGGCGGCCUACUGGGCACCAACUGACGCUGAGGCUCGAAAGUGUGGGUAGCAAACAGGAUUAGAUACCCUGGUAGUCCACACCGUAAACGAUGAUUACUAGGUGUUGGAGGAUUGACCCCUUCAGUGCCGCAGUUAACACAAUAAGUAAUCCACCUGGGGAGUACGACCGCAAGGUUGAAACUCAAAGGAAUUGACGGGGGCCCGCACAAGCAGUGGAGUAUGUGGUUUAAUUCGACGCAACGCGAAGAACCUUACCAAGUCUUGACAUCCUGUGACAGACGUAGAAAUACGUUCUUCCUUCGGGACACAGAGACAGGUGGUGCAUGGUUGUCGUCAGCUCGUGUCGUGAGAUGUUGGGUUAAGUCCCGCAACGAGCGCAACCCUUAUGGUCAGUUACUACGCAAGAGGACUCUGGCCAGACUGCCGUUGACAAAACGGAGGAAGGUGGGGAUGACGUCAAAUCAUCAUGCCCUUUAUGGCUUGGGCUACACACGUACUACAAUGGCGUUAAACAAAGAGAAGCAAGACCGCGAGGUGGAGCAAAACUCAGAAACAACGUCCCAGUUCAGACUGCAGGCUGCAACUCGCCUGCACGAAGUCGGAAUUGCUAGUAAUCGUGGAUCAGCAUGCCACGGUGAAUACGUUCCCGGGCCUUGUACACACCGCCCGUCACACCAUGAGAGCCGGGGGGACCCGAAGUCGGUAGUCUAACCGCAAGGAGGACGCCGCCGAAGGUAAAACUGGUGAUUGGGGUGAAGUCGUAACAAGGUAGCCGUAGGAGAACCUGCGGCUG